rnacentral:rRNA from 1 species
UACGUAGGGGGGCAAGCGUUGUCCGGAAUCAUUGGGCGUAAAGAGCGUGUAGGCGGCCAGAAAAGUCCGCUGUGAAAACUCGAGGCUCAACUUCGAGCUGUCGGUGGAAACUUUCUGGCUAGAGUCCGGAAGAGGAGAAUGGAAUUCCUGGUGUAGCGGUGAAAUGCGCAGAUAUCAGGAAGAACACCCGUGGCGAAGGCGGUUCUCUGGGACGGUACUGACGCUGAGACGCGAAAGCAUGGGGGAGCGAACAGG